rnacentral:rRNA from 1 species
CAAUAGCGUAUAUUUAAGUUGCUGCAGUUAAAAAGCUCGUAGUUGGAUUUCGGGUGGGAAUGGCCGGUCCGCCGUUUCGGUGUGCACUUGCUACGCCCACCUUGCUGCCGGGGACGUGCUCUUGAGUUCACGCUCGGGACACGGAGUCGGCGAGGUUACUUUGAGUAAAUUAGAGUGUUCAAAGCAGGCCUACGCUCUGAAUACAUUAGCAUGGAAUAACACGAUAGGACUCUGGCCUAUCUUGUUGGUCUGUAGGACCGGAGUAAUGAUUAAGAGGGACAAUCGGGGGCAUUCGUAUUUCAUUGUCAGAGGUGAAAUUCUUGGAUUUAUGAAAGACGAACUACUGCGAAAGCAUUUGCCAAGGAUGUUUUCAUUGA